rnacentral:rRNA from 1 species
CAUGAAACACGGAGCAAUCUGUGGCUUAUAGAUGGGCCUGCGGCGCAUUAGCUAGUUGGUAGGGUAACGGCCUACCAAGGCGACGAUGCGUAGCCGACCUGAGAGGGUGAACGGCCACACUGGGACUGAGACACGGCCCAGACUCCUACGGGAGGCAGCAGUAGGGAAUCUUCCGCAAUGGACGCAAGUCUGACGGAGCAACGCCGCGUGAGUGAUGAAGGUUUUCGGAUCGUAAAGCUCUGUUGCCCUAGACGAACAGCAAGGCGAGUAACUGCGCUUUUUGUGACGGUAUAGGAGAAGAAAGCCCCGGCUAACUACGUGCCAGCAGCCGCGGUAAUACGUAGGGGGCAAGCGUUGUCCGGAAUUAUUGGGCGUAAAGCGCGCGCAGGCGGUUAAUUAAGUUGGGUGUUUAAGCCCGGGGCUCAACCCCGGUUCGCAUCCAAAACUGGUUGACUUGAGUGUAGGAGAGGAAAAGUGGAAUUCCACGUGUAGCGGUGAAAUGCGUAGAGAUGUGGA